rnacentral:rRNA from 1 species
UACGUAGGGUGCGAGCGUUUGUCCGGAAUUAUUGGGCGUAAAGAGCUCGUAGGCGGUCCGAUAAGUCGGCUGUGAAAGUCAUGGGCUCAACCCAUGAAAGCCGGCCGAUACUGUCGGACUAGAGUUCGGAAGAGGCAAGUGGAAUUCCCGGUGAUAGCGGUGAAAUGCGCAGAUAUCGGGGAGGAACACCAAUUGCGAAGGCAGCUUGCUGGGACGAUACUGACG